CUGGGUGGCUGCAUUUACUAUGGAUGACCACAAGGUGGCGACCAUCUGGUUCGCACGAAUGCAGGCAGCGGUGUUUAGUCAUCGAGUUCAUGGAAAUGAAAAACGGACACAGAAACUCUCAAACACCACUGGACGUCCAGCAUCGCCUGCGUUCGGUUCUACAACCCUUAGGAGGACACUGUUUGGUGGAAACGUUCCCACGAACACGGUAAGAAUAUUAACUAUGUUAGGUAGUUUGUUCGGUUUUAAACAACCGAAC